UUAUGUGGGUCACACGGAUAAAAUUUACAAUAUUCAUGGAAGACGACUUAAUUAAAGCGUCUCUGUCUACUUGCAAACCAUCUUCUGAAAGAAUCUCGCGAAUGCGCCUCGUAAGCACCUAUGGUGUUUUCUUCAUUAAUCCAUAUAUCUAUGUGUUGUUACUCGCUACUAUUAUAAUUACGCACAUAUUAUGCACUGACGGACACGUAGCUCAAGGUAUGAAAUCUUCUCUCGAAUAUAUCGCUCUCAUUGCCAUCAGCUAUGUACGCACGUUUACUUGUACACAACUUUCCACGUUUUCUCAUCAAAUAUGGAUCAAUUAUUUCUCUCGAAGACACCACAAUGCGAGUCCAUAAAAUUAAAAACGGAAAUACACAUCAGACGAAAAGAAAGUGACGACGACUAUCAUUUACUAUACGUGCAUAUGUAGAUGUAACGUACAUUGGAAGUAAAAUUUUCGAACAUUUACGUUACGUGGAAUUCUGAUCUGAUCAUGGCGAUAGUGAAUGAUGAUGAUAAUAACAAUAGUACAGUGAUAAUAAUGACGACGAUAAUAACUAUGUACGUCAGUGUUAUGGGUGGAUCGUGUUUAGCGGGUUUAUGUGUACUAGAUUGGAAUAGCGUGACGUUCGGACGUUUCUGGAACGCGAAAUACAAGGAUCUCAGAUUUAGUUUACACUCUAGCUGAUAUAACGAUCGAGGAAAUGUUCUGCACAAAGUUUUUCUAGCGGGGUAGUCGCCACGUCGACAAUCUGCUCCUGCAUAUCCCUAGGGACUCGGCUAUCGGGUAAAUUGUUGGCUCCAGCCGACGCGAUGUCGCGUGAAUUAACGGCUCGAGUAUCGACGGUCAAGAAACGUAAGGGAGAUGAAAUUCACCUUCUUUCCGCAUGGUAGUUGCGAAGGAGUUCACGGUUGGUGUUGAACAGAACUCCAAAAUGAC
rnacentral:lncRNA from 1 species